GACGAACGCUGGCGGCGUGCCUAAUACAUGCAAGUAGAACGCUGAAGGAGGAGCUUGCUUCUCUGGAUGAGUUGCGAACGGGUGAGUAACGCGUAGGUAACCUGCCUUGUAGCGGGGGAUAACUAUUGGAAACGAUAGCUAAUACCGCAUAAUAUUGACUAUUGCAUGAUAGUCAGUUGAAAGGUGCAACUGCACCACUACCAGAUGGACCUGCGUUGUAUUAGCUAGUUGGUGGGGUAACGGCUCACCAAGGCGACGAUACAUAGCCGACCGGAGAGGGCGGUCGGCCAGACUGGGACGGAGACCCGGCCCAGACUCAUACGGGAGGCAGCAGUAGGGAAUCUUCGGCAAUGGACGGAAGUCUGACCGAGAAACGCCGCGUGAGUGAAGAAGGUUUUCGGAUCGUAAAGCUCUGUUGUAAGAGAAGAACGAGUGUGAGAGUGGAAAGCUCACACUGUGACGGUAUCUUACCAGAAAGGGACGGCUAACUACGUG
rnacentral:rRNA from 1 species